rnacentral:rRNA from 1 species
ACGCUCGACACCUACGGGAGGCAGCAGGUGGGGGAUAUUGCACAAUGGGGGAAACCCUGAUGCAGCGACGCCGCGUGAAGGAAGAAGGCCUUGGUUGUAACUUCUGUCGUACGGGACGAUAAUGACGGUACCGUACAAGAAAGCCACGGCUAACUACGUGCCAGCAGCCACGGUAAUCUGAGGCGGGCGUGGCGAAGGC